rnacentral:lncRNA from 1 species
GGGGUGAUGGGGUGCUUGGGAGCGGGUGGCGACACGGGACGUCGGAACAGGGGUUCUCCCGUCAGCCCGUGAACCGCGCGGCUGAAACCAGGGACGGUGGGCUUCCGUGGGGGCGCGGCGACGGUUGGAGGAAACGCCAAAGGGGUUUUCCCCUUUCUUUGGUGAAAUUGGGAGGGAGGAACCCUUUUUUUUUCUGGUGAAAACCGAGGGAGAGAGGGGCCUGGUUAAAUCGAGAGAGCGAGGGGAGAAAGUAACUGGAUCAUGACUUUGGC